AUUUUUUAUAAAUUUACUUGUUUUAACUAGUUUCCAACCGUUUUGUUUAUACAUUAGUAUGUUAUUAUAUUAAUAACAUUAUUUAUAUGUUACUCUGGUAACCUUGGUUACACUUCCCUUCCUGAAUCCUAGCACGUCCCUGUGCUUGGGAGUCAUUAAGUCACACAGGUGAAACUGCAUUGGGUUCAGCAUUGUGACGUCUUAUAUAAUCAGAUUCCUCCACUGACUCAGAACGUGCAGAACUCAAUCCUUGCAAUAAAGACUGAAUGACUGAAAUCAAGGGAUUUCCCAGCCGUGCUUACUGCAACUUGUCUGGGGGUCUACUCUGCCUUUUUGAACGUCUUGGACCCAUAUCUCCUGCAUCCUCUGGCACAGAUGGAAUGUCUGGAAGAUGUCUGACAGGAGGUUCAACUCCAGAGGCGUCUGGUUCUGCAUGAUGCAUCACAGGUGAGUUCAUCUCACCUCCAUCACUAAUAGAGUUUCAUUCAACAGUUGAAUCAUCUCUUAGCUGAUCGAGGACAGUGGAUUUUGGAUUGCAGAAUCAACUACAGGUCCUUAAGAGAUUUCACAUACAACGAGUGAGACUGGGAAGAAUCAUUGACUGGGAGUCCAAAGACAAGAUCCACAGGCAAUUGAGGCUGGCGUCCGAACAUCAUUUCGUAAGGGUUUCUAGCUGCACCAAGCCCAGGAAGAUGGUAAAAGACGUCACUGCCAUCUGAACAACAAUAGACUCUUCUCUCUGCAGCAUCACUAUACACAGAGUCUAAUUUUGUUCUUUUUGAUAAUAUGGACAUUCAAUAAAGCAUUUUACUGUAUGUUGCUAUGUUUUGGCUCUGACCUUCUGGCAGGUAACACAGACAGCUGGACAGGCAGUUGGGUGUUCAAGCAGGUAAACAGAACAACACAAAUACAUACACAACACUUCUACCACUUGAGACAGUGGAGUAAAGACAUAAUCCUGUGCACAGCUCUAGCUGACAGUCAGCUUUCUUCAAAGAGAGAGACGUGAAACAGCAACUGAUAGAAGAAACAGGACCAUGUGAAGACAAAAAAUACAGAAAUCAAUUAUUUCUCUAGUUAUCUAGAACAUUGAAACAAAUAAAGUCUAAACAGUGAAGUUUACAACCAAACUGUAAAACAAAUCCACCCACAGUUCCCCUCCCCAGCUGCCGGACGGAGCCCUCAUCUGAAUAUUGAGACACUUCCAGGUCAAUGGUUAAUUCUUGGUUUUAGACAUUUUUGGGGGAAUUUUGGGAAAAAAACAAAAUUAUUCUAUCAUCUUGGUUAAUCAUGGCUUUUUUUUGAAUAUUUUAACACUCUUAUUAACUUAGACUCUCCACUAAAAUCAACACGAUGGUCUAAUCUCUGAAAUAUAACUUCAAUAAUAUCAAUGGUCCACAGAAUAUGUAGUGCUUCAGUGGCAUUACACGGCAGAACAGCUGUAGAACCCACACUCCUAGAUCUCAGCAGCAGAGAGGAGACCUGAGAUUCAUUCAUUCAUUCA